GGGCCGCGGCGCGGGAAGCCGUUUAGCGAGGCCAGCGCCCCGCGGAGCGGCGGCGGCGGCGCGGGGAGCCUUUUACCUCCCUUUCAGAGGGGCGCCGUCCUCUGCGGCCUAUGCGCUGCCCCGCGUCGUGCUUCGCGGCCGGGCGGGGAGGCCGCUCCGAGCUUGGCGGCUGGGCGGGGGGGGCAGGGCCCUCACGGCUGCCCUUGCCAAAUGGCUCCUCGCCGGAGGAGGAAGCUGCCGCCGCCGCGGGAAGGGGCGCGGCUGCCUCGAGAGACCCAACCAGGAAAAGAAUCUGAAUGGUCAGACUCUAUGUCAUGUCUUAUGAAGAAACUGGAGGAAUUGAAUUUAGAUAUUGAAGAAGCUCUGAGUGCUGGCUCUUCUCCCUCCAGUACUCCUUCUGCCAAAAGGCACAAGCUACUGUGCCCUGUUCAAGUGGAGACUGGCUUUUAUGGAGAUCAUCAAGGAAAGAGAUCUUGGAAAAAUAGAAGAGCAGGCUACCAGGAUCUAGAUUGUUCAUCUAGCCCAGUGUCAGCUGGAGCACGACCAAAAACUGAUUGGAAUUGCUGCAGAAGAGCAUUCCAACAGGAGAGAGCAAAAACUUCCUUUAUUAUCUUAUCACAGGCACAUAGCUCCUACCAUAAGAGCUGAAUAAAAUAUUUUUACAAUUUUGUGGGUUGCUCCAUUAUACAAAUGUUUUUCUCACACCCUUUCUCCUCUCUGCUACCUUAAUUUUACUGUGUAAUGAAAGCAAGAUGUAACAAACUGUAAGUGAACUAGGAGCAGAACAACAGUUUUACAGUGGUAAUAGUUGAAUACCUGGCUUAGCCGUUGCAUAACUGGAAGGAAGGCCAGGAGAUAUUUAUAUUUUCCUUUAUUCAUGCAUACGUACAUACAAAUAUAGAUAUAUAGAUAAAAAACAUGUAUGGUUAGUAAACAUGACAUUUAUGACAUAAAUAUGUGUGUGGAUAAAUACAUC
rnacentral:lncRNA from 1 species